rnacentral:misc_RNA from 1 species
AAGUCGUAACAAGGUUUCCGUAGGUGAACCUGCGGAAGGAUCAUUAACACGUAUCCACGUAUCCACCCCUCGUGCACUGUUUUCACCUCUCCCUAGAGAGCUUCGACAGGAGUUGGAAGGCGAUUCGAGCGUUUGAAUGAGAGCGACUGCUGUUACAGGCGUCGCUCGGCUCGAUUCACCCCAUCAGCUGAGCAAUCAGCGUACAACUGGAGUCGACUCUUCUAGGCUAUUCUUCUUCUGGUUCGAACCUUCUCUCCAUUCAAGAGAAAUCGAAUCGGUCGUUUAAUACACCCCUUUCACCCCCUUUUUGCUAGUUGACUUUUUAUAUGUUGUUACACGUAGAUUCACUUCUACUGUCUCACACGUUUAAUUACUUGAACGUUAAAAAAACAACUCUUAGCAAUGGAUAUCUUGGUUCUC